AACCUCUGUUCUCCUAUAAAGAGCCUUUGAGACUCCUAUAGUGAGAUUUUUUAGUUCACAAAGAAACACAUUAAAAGAGACCUACGUUUAUCAAGAUCUAUGUUUAGAUUCAGGAUCUUUUUCAGACCAUUCGCGUUUUUCUUCUCCCUUUUUAUUAACUUAUUUUUAGGGGAUUACCGUAACAUAGCCCAUCAUCAACCCCGCGCACACGAUCCCCGAAAUGUAAAGGAAUGUCAAGAACCGUAAUAAUUUAAUAUUUGGAUUGAAACAUUUAAUAACUUAUGAAAUAUUUAUAGCCAUUUUUUGCUAAGGGCUGGCUUUCUUUUAGGGCUCAUUUUGAGAGCGCGCUACAAUGAAAUUGAUUACCCUUAGUAAAUAAUUAACGUAUAGCGUCAGAAAGAUUUUACACAAACAGAAAAACCUCUUCAAAAUUUGUUAUUGUUAACCUGACAUAUCCAACUUCAAGAAAUAACCAGGAAGGAGAUCUGGAAAUAAAAAAGAAAAGUUGUUUUUUCUAAAAAUACUAAAUUAGAGUUUUUAACUCUAAAUUUAAGUUUUUAAUUUUAAUACCUUUUUUAAUUGCGAUAGCGCGAUGGUUUGGUUUCGGCUCAGCCCUACGGCAUUCAAAAGUCACAUUAAUAAAGUUAUUUUAAGAUAACAAGUGCUAUCUUAAGAUAACUCUAUUAAUGUGAUUUCGGAAUGCGUGUAUAUUCACAUAAAUGUCUUGAUUGUAAGAUAACUCGAGUUAUUUUAAGAUAACAUAAAUGUGAUAAUUCUAUCUUUUCUAAUGCGCAUAUGUGUAAAUGAACGUUGCUUAGGGUGCGGAUACGUAAAGUAGCUCACAAAACAACAGCCUACAUGAAUUUCCGGCCGUAUUGACAUUUAUUUUGAUACGUCAUUUGUAUUGUCCUUGUGGUGUCGCGUAUGUGCUCUGCUGUAGAGUUCGCUCUGCGGUGGAGAACAAGAUGCAUUUUGUUAGUUUUGUGUUGUGAUGUAUUGUCCCGUGUUAAUUAUGUAAAGAGAAUAAUUGUAAUUUUCGUACUAUUUUUAGUUAAAUUUUCUGCACAUCUUGCACAUCUUUUUUCUGCGCAUUCAGUCUUCAACAUGUAAUGACAGAGUCGAACAUACAUUUUUGUAUUAAAUUUGCUGUUGAGUGAAAUUUUUCUUUCAUACAUCACAGGAGUUGUCCUGUAUCUCAGCAUCUGUUUUAGUUGUUUUCUCUCACAUGUAGUUGGCUUGGCUUACGCCACUAUAUAUCUAGUUAAAUCUUGGCAUUCAUUUUUUUGCUUUGCUAAAUUGUAUUUUUGGUAAUAUAGAACAGACAGCCAAUUACUGAUAUGAAAAAUCGUAAGAAUAAUAUUAAACGAAGAUCCAUACAAUGUAAAUUGGAGAAACUGAUUACAUUACAACGAACGAGUGAAUGAUCAGUGAAAAACAAUCUAAGAAAUGUAUGGAUGCUGAGUCGUUUACAACACAUGUAAAAAAGUGCGCCAAAUAUAAUUUUUUUAAAAAAAUCUGCCGAAUUUAUGGA